rnacentral:rRNA from 1 species
GACGAACGCUGGCGGCGUGCCUAAUACAUGCGAGUAGAACGCACAGUUUAUACCGUAGCUUGCUACACCAUAGACUGUGAGUUGCGAACGGGUGAGUAACGCGUAGGUAACCUGCCUGGUAGCGGGGGAUAACUAUUGGAAACGAUAGCUAAUACCGCAUAAUAUUAAUUAUUGCAUGAUAAUUAAUUGAAAGGUGCAAUUGCACCACUACCAGAUGGACCUGCGUUGUAUUAGCUAGUAGGUGAGGUAACGGCUCACCUAGGCGACGAUACAUAGCCGACCUGAGAGGGUGAUCGGCCACACUGGGACUGAGACACGGCCCAGACUCCUACGGGAGGCAGCAGUAGGGAAUCUUCGGCAAUGGACGAAAGUCUGACCGAGCAACGCCGCGUGAGUGAAGAAGGUUUUCGGAUCGUAAAGCUCUGUUGUAAGAGAAGAACGGGUGUGAGAGUGGAAAGUUCACACUGUGACGGUAUCUUACCAGAAAGGGACGGCUAACUACGCG